GGCAUGAAAGGAAACAUAGGUAGUUACUGUCUAUUCCGUUUUUAAUAGAAAUUACUCAGUAGGUGAAAAUACCUAUAUUAAAGCUAGUAGACGAGAAGACCCUAGAAAUUUAUAUAAUAUAAGUACACGUUUAUUUUUAUUUUGUUGGGGCGACAGAUAACAAUUAACUUAUUUUAAAUAAUUUGAAUUAUUGGUAUGCGAAAAUAAAUUACUCUAGGGAUAACAGCAUAAUUCAUUAUGAGUUUGUGACCUCGAUGUUGGACUAGGGUUUCUAUCGAUCAGAAGUUGGUAGAGUAGGCUCUGU
rnacentral:rRNA from 1 species